UACGAAGGGGGCUAGCGUUGCUCGGAAUCACUGGGCGUAAAGGGUGCGUAGGCGGGUCUUUUAAGUCAGGGGUGAAAUCCUGGAGCUCAACUCCAGAACUGCCUUUGAUACUGAAGAUCUUGAGUUCGGGAGAGGUGAGUGGAACUGCGAGUGUAGAGGUGAAAUUCGUAGAUAUUCGCAAGAACACCAGUGGCGAAGGCGGCUCACUGGCCCGGUACUGACGCUGAGGUGCGAAAGCGUGGGGGAGCAAACAGG
rnacentral:rRNA from 1 species